rnacentral:rRNA from 1 species
UACGGAGGGUGCAAGCGUUGCUCGGAAUUAUUGGGCGUAAAGGGUAGGUAGGUGGUCUCAUUUGUCUGGGGUGAAAGCCUUGAGCUUAACUCAAGAAGUGCCCCAGAAACGGUGAGACUGGAGUCCUGGAGAGGGUCGUGGAAUUCCCGGUGUAGCGGUGAAAUGCGUAGAGAUGCGGAGGAACACCGAUGGCGAAGGCAGCCCCCUGGGCCAAUACUGACGCUCAGGCGCGAAAGCGUGGGGAGCAAACAGG